AUAACCUACGGGGGGCAGCAGUAGGGAAUCUUCCACAAUGGGCGAAAGCCUGAUGGAGCAACGCCGCGUGAAGGAAGAAGGCUUUCGGGUUGUAAACUUCUUUUAAGAGGGAAGAGAAGAAGACGGUACCUCUUGAAUAAGCCACGGCUAACUACGUGCCAGCAGCCGCGGUAAUACGUAGGUGGCAAGCGUUGUCCGGAUUUACUGGGUGUAAAGGGCGUGCAGCCGGGCUGACAAGUCAGAUGUGAAAUCCCGCGGCUCAACCGCGGAACUGCAUUUGAAACUGUCAGUCUUGAGUACCGGAG
rnacentral:rRNA from 1 species